rnacentral:rRNA from 1 species
UACGUAGGUGGCAAGCGUUGUCCGGAAUUAUUGGGCGUAAAGCGCGCGCAGGCGGCCUUUUAAGUCUGAUGUGAAAGCCCACGGCUCAACCGUGGAAGGUCAUUGGAAACUGAAAGGCUUGAGUACAGAAGAGGAAAGCGGAAUUCCACGUGUAGCGGUGAAAUGCGUAGAGAUGUGGAGGAACACCAGUGGCGAAGGCGGCUUUCUAGUACGGUACUGACGCUGAGACGCGAAAGCGUGGGGAGCGAACAGG